rnacentral:lncRNA from 1 species
GGGACGGGGGGGGAGGGGGCGCUGCUCGUCCAGGGUCGCUCACCGUCACGCGGGGCGCUGCGCCGUCCGGAGCUGCUCCCGCGCGCAGAGGCCCGAGGACAGUGUCACGAGGUCGGCGGUCGCGACCGCUGGGGCUGGAGCGACAGGCCUGCAGGCGCCCGGCCGCCGCGGAUACGGGGCGGGGGAGGGGCGGCCAGAGGACGGCAUCAGCUGAGGCCGGGCGCUGCUGCAACCUGCGUCCGCGCCUGCGCACAGCGCCUUCGUAGGUGGGUGACCCAGGCGCGGGCCCCACGCAUGCGUCCUUCUGACCCUUCGCUACAGCCCGGAAGCGCCGCGGCGGCUCUAGUUUGUUCACCCUGCAGGCUUUUUCCUUUAGCAAAAGGAAAAAAAAAAAGACUCUGCCUCAACCCUCAGCUGAGCAGCUUUGCCGGUCGUCGCUGACGCUCGCGACGCUGGGAAUGGGAUCAACUGGUUGGUAGACAGGCGUCGGGCAGCCAAAAAGUCACAUCCUUUAAAAUUUAGAAGCUUUGACUUGGUAGAAGGAAGCUAAGUGCGGCAGGAGCCCUGUCUUUUGUUCCUGGUUGGUCUGGUGUUGCUGGUUUUGCGCGUAGGUCACCGUCCUCCACCCCCUGGUCCCCUAAGUCCCAGGUGAGUGACCGCGGUGGGAGCCCAGCCCGAACCCCGGUGCUUCCGAUCGUCGCCGGGCCUUGAGGCUAGUGUCUCAAAGGCUGGGCUGUCUCGUUUGGAAUAACAAUACGGAGUUGUUUUAAGGAUUGAGUGAGAUCCAGAAAAUACCUGUCAAGCGCAGACUAGACUCUGUUGCCUGCAGAGAAAUUUUAACGUUUCAUGAAUGUUAGCUGCUGUUACCAUCAUGGUCACCGCAUACAUGGGAAGGAAGGACGGAAGGAAGGAAUGGAAUUUUAUUUCUCUUUGGGCAGGACCGGUUUGUUUCGCUGGUGGAAUAUGAAGAUACGUGAAAGUAAGAAAUACAAGUCAAAAUAAUACAUAAUUUUUUUUUUGAAGAUUUAAAGUUACUACAGCUAAGUCUUCACAAUGUUGGUGAACAUGCAAUCUCAUAACAUGUAUUAAGACUAUUAAAAUUUGGGGGCACCUAAAAAAAAUUGGGGUGGGGGCACCUGGCUGGCUGAAUAGAAGCAAGAUGGGACUCGAUUUCAAGGUCCUGAGUUACAGAGCCACCUUGGGUGUAAAGAUUACUAAAAAUAAAUUAAAUAAACUAAUUUUUGGGACUUUAAUU